UACGUAGGUGGCAAGCGUUAUCCGGAUUUAUUGGGCGUAAAGGGAACGCAGGCGGUCUUUUAAGUCUGAUGUGAAAGCCUUCGGCUUAACCGGAGUAGUGCAAUGGAAACUGGGAGACUUGAGUGCAGAAGAGGAGAGUGGAACUCCAUGUGUAGCGGCGAAAUGCGUAGAUAUAUGGAAGAACACCAGUGGCGAAAGCGGCUCUCUGGUCUGUAACUGACGCUGUGGUUCGAAAGCGUGGGUAGCAAACAGG
rnacentral:rRNA from 1 species